rnacentral:sRNA from 1 species
UGAAAGCUGUUUUACAGGAGUCUUGAGG